rnacentral:lncRNA from 1 species
UCCUGUAAGUCUCCCACAGGAACUUAAACCAAGGGGUAACCAACUCACGGUCAGAUCUAUCUUUCCCCUUCUCUCCACUGACAAUACUCAGCUGCAAAUCUUCAGGCUUCCUAUCAGCUUCAAGGUCAUCAACAUCAAGUGCCUCCUCCAGAGCAUCAGCCUGAGAGCGAGCCUGCUCAGCUUUCUCGGUAGAAAGAUGCAGGAAAUGCUUGAUGACUUCCUCCAACGAGCUCACAUUCACUUGCUGGCAUACAAUACGGUACUGGAUCAACCCAUCUUUAGCGAACCGACCUCUCUUCAAGUCGACACAAAGGUCCAGGUACUUGAACAUGAUCUUCUCGAGCGGCUUCUGCCACGCUCUGUACCUCUUGGAGGUGAUGAGAUCGUGAAGCGCCUGGAGGGCAUCUUGUUUCUGUCCAACAUUGAUCAACUCUACAACACACAUUCAGCAAAAAGGUCAUUUCAUGGGUGGCAUGAUUGAACUAAAAGGUCAAUUCUGUAAACUUACCAUCAGCACGCUUCAAUGCGUUCUCAGGUUUGGCAAAAUGCGCCAUGUUUUUCAGACAAGCUCACACGGAAAGGAUACUCUCAGCUUUGUUCUGAACAAAUCAAUAAGCAUAAAACUGAUUCAAAGAGAGCUUUUUUUUUUGCCCAAACCCUAAAUUCAAUCUCUUUCAAUCAGAAAACACGAAAGAUUCGAUAAACUGAUGUAAAAUCUAGACUAGAUGAGUUCGAUGAGAUCCGUCGGACAAGAAAGAGCAGAGAUCUAAUCACUGUCGUUUUCUGAAACAGAACACGAAGCUUGUAACUAACCUGGUCCGCCGUGAUGAUGAGAGUGUUGUUUGAGAGGAAAUGGAAGCAGCGAGACUAGGGUUUCUUGUAUUGGAUAUGAUUGUAUUUUGCAAAUAACACCAGAAUCUUCGAUCUUUUUCUAAAUUACCCCCGUUUAACUUUUUAGUGUUUAUAAAACCCAAUUAUCUACGGAUGUCCAUUUUCUACAUAUAGUUGGUGUUAUGCAUUUCAACUUUGUCAAUUUUUAUCAUCAUGUUAUUGAGUUAGAUAAAUAUAAUCAGAACCAACGGAAAACACUAUAUGAGAAAUUUGAGGUUUAAUCAUGUUACAAUCACUUUUAAAAACCUAAAUACAAUAUAGAAAGAUUUAACUCUAAGACACUUUCUUUUUUUUUAAUUACACCUUGGGACACAUUGUUAUACAGACACACUUUCUCUAACAACUAGUGUUGGAUUCUAACUAAGCAUUUUCCUUUUUCUUUACAUACCAAAUAUAAAGCUUCUUCCUACUGAUUCUUUUGGCGGGAUUUACUCCCAACCGUCGAUCUUCCUUUAUUGCCAAAGGCUGAGAUUUAAUAUUACAAAUCUGGACAAGACACAUAUCUAACUUUUAACAACCACCGCUAGAUCUACUUCUUAUUUCUGACGGUCCAGAUCAAAUUCUACAAUUCACCAUCUUCUUUCCCUCUAUCAUUCUUGUCUCUUACCUCUUCAAUCUUCAUCACCCACAAAGUUAACAAGAUAAUUCAUCAGAAAUCAAAACCUGAUUAUUGGAUCAUAAGUUGUGGUUUGUGAGCUAAUUAACCUUGUUUUGUUAAUGUCGUUUACUGUAACUCCAAGUUUUUAACUCUUUGAACAAAAACCCUUUCAUUUCUUGUAGGUAUCUUCCAUGGCGGACGGCUCACUGUAUGGUUAUCGUUGGCGAAUGGAAUCAAUUUCUUUAAUAUGUAUUGACUUUACUUUUAGCCCACAAACUUUAAUCAAGUCGCGGAUUUCUAUUCUGGACAUUUUGUCUAACUUGGUUACGCUGGUUUAGAAACCUCAUCUACCUAUACACCCCGUACACUGCCUCAACCGUACACAUGUACGCUCUUCCCAUCAACUACAUUAUAUUAACCAUGUUUCUACUGCCUAGUUCUAUGAGAUGUGGAAAAUUGGUAACAAAAUUACACAAUCACAGUUCUUACAGUUUCCUACGGAGUUAGAUUUUCAGAAUCACACUAAGCUACAAGUUGUCCACGUGUACAACUAUGUCAACUGUACAUCAUGGAGCUACGAGCUGUCCACGUGUACAACAAUGCCAAGCUACAAGCUACAAUUUGUAUACACAAAACAAAAAUACACAUAUGUUCUAUCCAAAUCAAAACAUCAUCCUCGAACAAUCUGACUGUAGUGAAUCAUAUAUACACCAGACCUUCUUCUACGAUUGCGCAUUCACUCACCUCCAUCCUUCUUCUUUUUGGACAUACCUAUAUACCCCCGUACACAACCACCUUCACAUUUGUGUACAUGUGAACAUUUGUUGAUAGCUAGUGUACAUUAUAAACCAAUGUUGUUCCUCGAAAUAAUGUAUAUGUGGAUAGUUAAUAAUAUGCACUUAAUGGAAAUUAUGUGUACAUGUGAAUACUUUACUAUGCAAUAUGUACAACCCCACCCCCACCCCAAAAAAAUACUACCCUUUUUGUUUUUAGCCUAAACAGGUGGACAAAGCACAAGCCCAGAAGCUUCUCCAUCUCUUAUGUCCUUUCAAGCACACCCCUUACCAUAAGAAGAUACUCCAACAAUGAAUUACAAUUGUGCCUUUUGCUUGGGUAUAUGUCUGUCGCAAACAACCGUGACUGCUCCUUCAUGUGGUUCCGCUAUCUCUGAAAGACACAAGCAACACAAGAGAGUAUUAGAAAUCUCAAUAAUCUGAACCAUAAACCAGGGAACCCAAAUCACUUCCCCUACACAGAAACCCUAGAUCGGAAUUCUACACCAAAAUACGAAAUCCAACACCUGUAAGCCCCUGAAACACAAUAAGAACUAAGAUAAUGGAGAUAUUGCAGCCCCCUUAGGAAUACAUCCACAAAUCCACCCAGAAAAACCCAACGAGUUGGGGAUACACGCGUGUACACAUGUACACAAUUGCAGCCCCCUCACUUCCCCUCACGAAUAUAUCCACAAAUUGUACAUAUACACGCGUGUACACAUAUACACUAUGUUGGUUGUUCAUAUGUACACACUUGUUAGUGUACACCCCACCACAUUUUUUUCAAAACACCAAAACUAGCAACAAGCUUCGACCUUUUCCCCCAUUGCAUUAUCAUCAUAGAAAUCUCAAAUCCGAAACCACAAUCCCAAAAUUAAAAUCACAGAAUUGAAACCCUAAUCCCCAAACUUUGAAAAGUAUAACCUCACAUCGAGGGUCUUGGGUAAAAUCUCAAAAUACACCCUUAAUCUCAAAAUCAAAAUUCCAAAUCCAAAUCCCUAAUCUAAAAAUCGAAAUCCCAGAAUCGAAAUCCCAAAAUCGAAACCCUAAUCCCCAAACAGAUCUUAGCUUUCGCUUUGCCCUUUGUAACUCUCCUCUUUCGCGAUGACAUCAUCUUCUCUGUCCAUGAGAAAUCUCAUUCGUCGCUCCGUCGAAAAUUGCGGUCUCUGUCUUCUCCCACGGCGUUUUAUUUUUUUUUUCACAGGUUUGUGCAAAACUAAAAACUCAAUUUUACAUCUGUUUCACGUCCACUACCUGAAACCUAAAAAAUUUAAAAUUUAAAUUCCCUAACCAGCCCAACUAGAAUGAAAAUGUCUAAUUACCCAAAUACCCACACUUAGUUUGCUUUAUGGAAGACAAACAUGUAUUCAACUACUAGAAAGUACCUUAGUAGCACAUUGUGCUCUCCUAUGUAAUAAAAAGACAUAAUGUGUCUAUUUAUGUUAAUAACUCUACAAUAUAGUCUAAAACACGAAAAUACAUAUUUGCAAAUAAUUAAAAACUUUGGGCCAAUUUUCAAUUUCUUGAAACUUAUUAAAACUCGUCUAGAAAUGUUUUUAGCGAUUGGUGUCGACCGACAUCAAUGGAUGAUAUCGAUCGACACCAUGUCCAAAGCUUAAAUCUUGACUUGUUCUCUUCAGCUACAAUUUUCUUUAUGUUCCAAGAUGCUCCAGAAUCUUCAAUUUUGUCCAAAACAUACUUAAACCUCCAAUAACUCAAAACAUGUGAACAUUUGUUGAUAGCUAAAAAAAAUGGAUACAUCAACAAUGCUUUCUCUAACUUGUUAAUAGGAAAUGAAGGAGAAGACAGAACAAGUAGAAACAAAACACACCUGCCAAAGUCCAAGCUCAGUAGCAACUUUCAACUGAUCAAAUCUUGUGUCCAGGUAAAGCUGCAAGCUCUCAGGAGCUGACAAGUCAGGCCUGUCCCUUUGGUCUCUGUACUUGUUCAGAUUCGCCAAAUGGUUUCUAAUGAUUUCACAAAGCCUACGGAACUCGGUUGUUCGCUUGUACUGCUUACAGAACUGGAAGGCCUUAUGUGCUGUCAUCUACAAGAGAAUAAGUGUACUUAGAUCUUAUUCAACUAAUAUCACAAGAAUCUAAUAAGCUUAACUAACCGCAUAAAGUGCUUCCAACUUUGAGUUGUUACGCAAUAUCUCAAGCACAGUCCUGUAAGUCUCCCACAGGAACUUAAACCAAGGGGUAACCAACUCACGGUCAGAUCUAUCUUUCCCCUUCUCUCCACUGACAAUACUCAGCUGCAAAUCUUCAGGCUUCCUAUCAGCUUCAAGGUCAUCAACAUCAAGUGCCUCCUCCAGAGCAUCAGCCUGAGAGCGAGCCUGCUCAGCUUUCUCGGUAGAAAGAUGCAGGAAAUGCUUGAUGACUUCCUCCAACGAGCUCACAUUCACUUGCUGGCAUACAAUACGGUACUGGAUCAACCCAUCUUUAGCGAACCGACCUCUCUUCAAGUCGACACAAAGGUCCAGGUACUUGAACAUGAUCUUCUCGAGCGGCUUCUGCCACGCUCUGUACCUCUUGGAGGUGAUGAGGUCGUGAAGUGCCUGAAGGGCAUCUUGUUUCUGUCCAACAUUGAUCAACUCUGCAAACACACCAAAUGUCAUUUCACUAACCCUGUAACCAAAUCCAUGGGCACUAAAUGGAACUUACCAUCAGCACGCUUCAAUGCGUUCUCAGGUUUGGCAAAAUGCGCCAUGUUUUUCAGACAAGCUCACACGGAAAGGAUACUCUCAGCUUUGUUCUGAACAAAUCAAUAAGCAUAAAACUGAUUCAAAGAGAGCUUUUUUUUUUGCCCAAACCCUAAAUUCAAUCUCUUUCAAUCAGAAAACACGAAAGAUUCGAUAAACUGAUGUAAAAUCUAGACUAGAUGAGUUCGAUGAGAUCCGUCGGACAAGAAAGAGCAGAGAUCUAAUCACUGUCGUUUUCUGAAACAGAACACGAAGCUUGUAACUAACCUGGUCCGCCGUGAUGAUGAGAGUGUUGUUUGAGAGGAAAUGGAAGCAGCGAGACUAGGGUUUCUUGUAUUGGAUAUGAUUGUAUUUUGCAAAUAACACCAGAAUCUUCGAUCUUUUUCUAAAUUACCCCCGUUUAACUUUUUAGUGUUUAUAAAACCCAAUUAUCUACGGAUGUCCAUUUUCUACAUAGUUGGUGUUAUGCAUUUCAACUUUGUCAAAUUUUAUCAUCAUGUUAUUAAGUUAGAUAAAUAUAAUCAGAACCAACAAAAAACACUAUAAUAUGAGAAAUAUGAGGAGGUCAUUAGAUGUAUCUAGCCUAGAGAUGUUAAAAUAGGUGAAUCCUUCCCACGUAAACCAUCCCAUUUAAACCCGGAACCUUUUAGAGCAAUUUUGGUUUUAUAGUUUCAUAGGGUAAAUCCAUUUGGACCUAUGACUAUUACUUUCGCCAUUUUGAUCAGUUUAGAGUUAUAACUAAUUUUUAUUGAUAUUUAUGAUGUAAAACUAUUUUGAAUAAAAAUUAAUUGUACAAAUCUUUUUUAAGAAAAUUAAGAGUGUUUAAAAAAAAAAAAAAUGUUUGAGUUAAUUUGUUGAUUUGUUUUCUUUCUGGAAAUUGAAUUUUAACAAAAAAAAGUUGAAAAAUGAUUAGAAAAGUUAUAAUUUCUUUUGUUUUUAUUUUAUUUUUGACAAAAGGUUUUAAUUACUUUUAUCUAGUAUUGUAUUUAGUUAAAUAUAUUUAGAUAAACAAAUUAACAUGAUCCCCAUCAAUGUUUUACUAAAGUUACCUAAUUGCUAUCUAUUUAAAACCCAUCAAACUAAAUAAGUUUAAAUGAAAACACACAUUUUAAACCCACUAAAUACAUUUGGUCUCUUUUCAUAUCUCUAAAAACAUAUCUCUAAGAAUCUCUCCUCCUUGAGAUUAAUUUUACUUUUUCUGGUGAUUGGCUAUGGUGGCUUAUUUAGCACCGGAGCCGGUUUCUCUUUUUGUUUCUCUUCAUAUAUUGUUAAGUCUCUGUCAAAGUCGGGAUUCAAUCCGUUUUUCAGGUAGAUGUACUGAAUUUUCUUAAUCGAUGAUGUGGUUCAUCUACUUAUACAUCUUGUCAUCAAUCUGGAUCGAGAUCUUUUGAGUGGAUUCCUCUCUCGUCUUUGUUUUGUCCACCGUUUCUUUUGUUGUUAGCGUUGAUUUGUGUUUGUGAGGGCUCUUUCACCUACUUUCAUGUCCUUGUUUUUUUUGGCGGCCGUUCUGGAUUCACUAUAGUUUCGAUCUUCUUCUAAUAUGGGCUCUGGAUUAGCUUUAUCUGGUGUGAAUCGAAUUGCUCCAUUUUAUUUUCCAAGAGAUCUUGUCGAGUCUCGCAUUUUUCGUUGUGGCUUCGUUCAAGGCGUUUCUCCGGUCUUUCUACUGCUUCCUUCACCGUCUCCAAGUAUGAAUCAUGUUACAGUCACUUUUAAAAACCUAAAUACAGUAUAGUCUAAAACACGAAAAGUACAUAUUUGCAAAUAAUUAAAAACUUUGGGCCAAUUUUCAAUUUCUUGAAACUUGUUAAAAACUCGUCUAGAAGUGUUGUUAGUGGAUUGGUGUCGACCGACACCAAUGGAUGGUAUCGAUCGACACCAUGUCCAAAGCUUAAAUCUUGAAGUGUUCUCUUCGGCUACAAUUUUCUUUAUGUUCCAAGAUGCUCCAGAAUCUUCAAUUUUGUCCAAAAUAUAUCUAAACCUCUAAUAACUCAAAGAGACUCGAAAUACCAAAAAGAUACUAAAACCGGACUUGUUUCAUCGUCCAUAACAAGCAUUAUGUAUCAACCAGACAUGUUAAUAAUAUUUCAGAUGGUUACCAAUUAGUUCUAUCUUUUUUUUUUGAAAGAAUGCUAAAUUUAUUCAUCAAAAAAACCUGUUUACAUCAAGUGGUUCUUUGGUUUAAAAAAUUGCUACUCCUACUCCUUUACCUUCCCCUUCCCCUUUACAGAAACCCAAAACUCAGGAAUCUAUCACCUAGCAAAACUGUCUACCAUAUUUACAGCCUUAUACUAAAACAGUAUUGCAAGAUAUGACCUUUAACUCGUUUGGAUUGUAGUAGGCUUAGCUUGUUACGGAUAGCUUUGUCAGUGAGUUUAGACAGCACCUGCAGUGGAAGAGCCCUUUCACCGUGUCGCCGCUUGUUUCGUUCUCUCCACAGCUUAUACAGAAUAGUUUGAAAUGCGUAUCUGAGACAGAACCUUUUCUGUUUUUCCAUGCCUGGAGUAAUGAUCAACCUCACAACUGCAUCCCAAUUAGUGGAGAAGGAGCUAUGCAGAAACCCCCUCGUAAGAUGUUCCCAAAGUUGAGAUGAGAAGGAACAAUCAAAGAAGAGAUGGUUUCUGGAUUCUGGUGCGUUAUUACAUAGAACGCAUGUAGUGUCUACCCCUUGACACCAACCAGAAACACGAUCCAUAGUAGCUAACCUGUCCUUCAUUGCGAUCCAAGCCAUGAAAGCGAAUUUUGGCGUAGCCUGAGAGAACCAAAUACCACUACCCCAAGUAGACGGCACCCCAGCUUCUCUUGCCAGCUGUCAUGUCUUAUAGGUUGUGAACUUUAGUUUAUAACCUGAGUUCCUUCUCCACAAGGCAACAUCCUUAUCUGUGUUACACUGCUACCGUUUAGUGUUCUCCAACUCCUUUUCAAUAUCAUUUAAGAGUGCUCUUAUGUGCCUUUUCCUCCUCCUAUGAUUAUGAAAAGCCUCCUCCACUGUGGCUUCUCUUUGAAUUCCCAAAUCGAUAGUUCCUCUUUCCUCAAGCAAAUCAAACAUCACCCCUUUAUUAGACCAGCUAUCGUACCAGAAGGAUGUAUGGUGCCCAUUCCCCACUUCUUUCAUAUAGAACGUUUUAGCUAUACUUCUUGGUUUGAGCAUCUUCCUCCAAAUCCAAGAUCCAACUUGGGUGUUUUCAUUGACUUGCCAAAAGCUCUUCUUUUUAAGCAAGUUAGUUUUAAUCCAUCUGCCCCAAAGAGAGUCAUCAGCCAGCAUUCUCUAGAUUAGCUUCAGACCAUAAACAAAAGCGUCUUUUUCUUUCCCUUUUUCAUGCGUUUCUCUGUGUCCUCCAGCAACGCCUGAGCUUCCUCAAGUUCCUUCUCCUCUAUCUCUCUAAGGAUUCUUUGUUUCCUUCUCUCCAGAAGCUCUGCCGCAAGUCUCUUUUGCUCUGCCUCCUCAGUUAGCUUCUGAAGCUUAAGCCGUUUCUGUUCCUCCUCACGUUCCAUUUCUAGUUGCUGACGCUCUUGAUCCUCUUUCCUCUUUUCAAUGAUUGAUUUCCGAGCAAGCAGUCUCUUGUGCUCCUUCUCAACAGUUUCUGCUAGGUUCGGUACAAUGCCACCUAGUUUUGAUGCUUUACUUGGGACAGGAUACAGCAUAGCUCUAACUUUGUUCAAAGACUCAGCAAAAACAGCCAGAUGAUCCUUCAGUCCAUCAGACUCAAUCCCCUGAUUGAAAAAAGUUGAUUAUAUCUACCAAAGGAGUCGAAUAGUUAAAGAGUUAUAUCACUAAAGCAUCAACAGUGGCUUACCAAAUUGCCAAAAAUAACAACACCCUUCAUGUGAUCAACUUUCAUGGCAACAAAGUUGUUCUUCACAGCAUCAACAGAUAUCUUCUCUACCACUGAGAAUUCAAAGAAGGGGACCAACUGAGAUAAACUCUCAAUUCGUAUAGUCUGAUAGAUCUUAGACACCUGAUUAAAAAUAAACAAUCAGCAUAAACCACAAGACCAAUCCAAAAUGGUUGAAUGGAUAUUAAACCCAACAAAGUAGAGAACAAAGAGCAUUCUUUACCUGUUGAAGUAGCCUCAGAGUAGCAAGCUUCUCCAAAGAAGGAACAUACUGGGAGAGUUGCACUUCUGGCAAAGAAGGAGCUGAUGAAAGCUUCCCACCAGAUUUGGAAAUCUUUUCCAGCAACGGCUGAAUCUUGGAGCCAAGAUCAAGUGGGUGAAACUCAUGCUCCAAAACAUGGAAAAGAUCUUUGACCUCCUGUGAUGCACAGCUCAAAACACCUCUUGAAACCUAAAUGUACAGAAACAUCAAAAUCAGAUGCCUGUAAGGAUAUCAGCAAUGUGAUGUGGCUGCUAGAGACUCACCAGCUCUGACAGAAGAGCUGACCUUGAAAGCUGUAAAAGAAAUGCAUUGAAUUAGAAAUAUUAAAAAAAAUGGAAUAUACAAAACAGUAAAGUAACAUCAGAGCCUAUGUUACCAUAUCUCUGCCCUCAAAUUUAGGUUCAAGAUUGAAACCAAUGAGGUUGGCCAUCCUCAAAUUGCGUUCUUUCUCGUUUUCAAGCUCCAUAUGGGAUGCACUCUGAGUUCUAUCAAACGGCGGAACAGAUAACGCCGCCAAGACAACAGAAGAUGCUAUUAGCUGCAAAUCCUUUUGGCUCAAGUUCUUGUUGAAAUUUUUCUGCAGACUAAACAGCUUGAACCAUGCAUAAGCAUGGUACAGAUGGCUAGAAGAAAUCCAGAAGAUCUCAGUCAAUUUGGAAUAGUAGACCAUCAACAAAGAUGACUUGGGCGUUUUCUUGACCAUGCACAUUAAUCCAUAUAUAUCUUCAACAGAACGGAAAGCUUCCUAAAAUAAAUAAAAAAUGGAUACAUCAACAAAGCUUUCUCUAACUUGUUACUAGGGAAUGAAGGAGAAGACAGAACAAGUAGAAACAAAACACACCUGCCAAAGUCCAAGCUCAGUAGCAACUUUCAGCUGAUCAAAUCUUGUGUCCAGGUAAAGCUGCAAGCUCUCUGGGGCUGACAAGUCAGGCCUGUCCCUUUGGUCUCUGUACUUGUUCAGGUUUGCCAAAUGGUUUCUAAUGAUUUCACAAAGCCUGCGGAACUCGGUUGUUCGCUUGUACUGCUUACAGAACUGGAAGGCCUUAUGUGCUGUCAUCUACAAGAGAAUAAGUGUACUUAGAUCUUAUUCAACUAAUAUCACAAGAAUCUAAUAAGCUUAACUAACCGCAUAAAGCGCUUCCAACUUUGAGUUGUUACGCAAUAUCUCAAGCACAGUCCUGUAAGUCUCCCACAGGAACUUAAACCAAGGGGUAACCAACUCACGGUCAGAUCUAUCUUUCCCCUUCUCUCCACUGACAAUACUCAGCUGCAAAUCUUCAGGCUUCCUGUCAGCCUCAAGGUCAUCGACAUCAAGUGCCUCCUCCAGAGCAUCAGCCUGAGAGCGAGCCUGCUCAGCCUUCUCGGUAGAAAGAUGCAGGAAGUGCUUGAUGACUUCCUCCAACGAGCUCACAUUCACUUGCUGGCAAACGAUACGGUACUGGAUCAACCCAUCUUUAGCGAACCGACCUCUCUUCAAGUCGACACAAAGGUCCAGAUACUUGAACAUGAUCUUUUCGAGCGGCUUCUGCCAUGCUCGGUACCUCUUGGAGGUGAUGAGAUCGUGAAGCGCCUGGAGGGCAUCUUGUUUCUGUCCAACAUUGAUCAAUUC